rnacentral:rRNA from 1 species
GAUGAACGCUGGCGGCGUGCCUAAUACAUGCAAGUCGAGCGAACAGACGAGGAGCUUGCUCCUUCGACGUUAGCGGCGGACGGGUGAGUAACACGUAGGUAACCUACCUAUAAGACUGGGAUAACUUCGGGAAACCGGAACUAAUACCGGAUAAUAUUUCGAACCGCAUGGUUCGAUAGUGAAAGAUGGCUUUGCUAUCACUUAUAGCUGGACCUGCGCCGUAUUAGCUAGUUGGUAGGGUUACGGCUUACCAAGGCAACGAUACGUAGCCGACCUGAGAGGGUGAUCGGCCACACUGGAGCUGAGCCACGGUCCAGACUCCUACGGGAGGCAGCAGUAGGGAAUCUUCCGCAAUGGGCGAAAGCCUGACGGAGCAACGCCGCGUGAGUGAUGAAGGUCUUCGGAUCGUAAAACUCUGUUAUGAGGGAAGAACAAACGUGUAAGUAACUGUGCACGUCUUGACGGUACCUAAUCAGAAAGCCACGGCUAACUACGUG